CAAUAGCGUAUAUUAAAGUUGUUGCAGUUAAAAAGCUCGUAGUUGGAUUUCUGGUGGGAGCGAUCGGUCUGGCGCUUAGCGCGAGUACUUGCAUCGUCUCCGGCCACCCUUGGGGAGAGUCUGUCUGGCAUUAGGUUGUCGGGCAGAGGAUCCUCAUCGUUUACUGUGAAAAAAUUAGAGUGUUCAAAGCAGGCUUAUGCCGUUGAAUAUAUUAGCAUGGAAUAAUAAGAUAGGACUUUGGUACUAUUUUGUUGGUUUGCGCACCAAAGUAAUGAUUAAUGGGGACAGUUGGGGGUAUUCGUAUUCCGUUGUCAGAGGUGAAAUUCUUGGAUUUACGGAAGACGAACUACUGCGAAAGCAUUUACCAAGGAUGUUUUCAUUAA
rnacentral:rRNA from 1 species